CAGACCUGAAGCUUUCCAUGUUGUCGUAGCUGAACGGGUUCAAUCAUUGCCAGUGAUCUGUCAGUGAGUUGGAGAACAUUUCAACUAUCACUUGGAAUCUGAAGAAUUCUUUGCUUGACGUGCCAGAAUAAGUGCGUUUCAAAAGAACAAACUCUCCCUCUGGUGACAUGGGUGUAAAAAUGCUGCAGUGCUUUCCUUUCUACAGACGCUGCAAGGAGAAGUGCAAAAAACAGUGCCCUCCUGAGACGGCAGUAGCAAGUGAAGAGGUGAAACCUCGGCUGUGUUCCACUACCUCCUGGGGCAGUGAAGGGGACAGCAGCAGCAGUCCAAGGUGCCCACAGGCCUAUUUUUCCCACAAGGCUCGGCUCUCGCUGAGACACCAGAUGGAUAGCAACAUCAAUGCAGUGGAUGCAACAUACUAACUUUGUUCUGCAGGCAGUCUCUGGAGAAUCCAGAUUUACAGUCCCUGUCCAGUUUAAGUCCCUUACUGGAGAGUUUUUUUUGGGGGGGGGGGGGGCGGGGGGGGGGGGGGGAC